UGGUCAAGCUACAAAGGGCUCACGGUGGAUACCUUUGGCACACAGAGGCGAUGAAGGACGUGUUUACCUGCGAUAAGUCUCGGGGAGCUGGAAAAACGCUUUGAUCCGGGAAUUUCCGAAUGGGGCAACCCCUAGAACGGCCAGCUGAAUCUAUAGGCUGGCGCGAGCCAACCC
rnacentral:rRNA from 1 species